ensembl:snRNA U6 U6 spliceosomal RNA
GCUUUAGCAAUGUGUGUACUAGAAUUGGUGCAAUACAGAGAAGAUUAGCAUGGCCCCUGUGCAAGGAUGACGCUCGGAUUCAUGAAGCAGUCCUUCAAAAA